rnacentral:sRNA from 1 species
AUUGAUCUUAUUUUGAAAAAUACUGAUAAAGGUAGUCACUCUUCUUGCUAUAUGUUUCUUGUUAAAUUGAAAAUUAGGAAAAGAAUAUUGUGUAUACUGGAUUUAUAUUUAGUGCUAUUAGAACAUAAAGUCAUCAUUUUAGUCCAAACCUUUUUGAAGUCACUGUGUUAAAAGAUGCAUUUUUUGUAAGGGGAAAUAACUGAUGAGUAUUCUGCCCCAUUCCUUUUUGUUUUCAUAAAGCAUCCAGAUUUUUCUUUCAUACACAUUGUCCAGAAACAGAAUCUCAAUAGCACCUCUACCAGUAAUUUUGCUAAUUAGCCAUUAGUGCUCUAAUGAUGGUGCAAAAGUAGAUGGAGAAUAUUUUAGAAUACUAGAAAAUGUUAUCAUAGCGUAGUAAUGUUGAAUUUGGCAUUCAAGGAUUUCUGACGCAAUUUACCAUAUAUUUUUCAUGAAAGACUUCAUCAGAGUGGAACUUUCAAGUCUAUGUCAUGUUAUGAUAUUAGAUUUGUUCUACGAGACAUCACUUUAUUCCAUUACAGAUAAGUUUGUUCGGUUUAGACCCUUUGGACAUUUUAUGUUAUAACCUCAAGGGGUCCUUACUACCCCUUCAUCAGAUGAUUAUGUACUAUUAUAUGUAAAAAUGUAGCACACCACCGGUGUGAGACUUACUGAUAUGCAAUACUAUUAUAGCUGUAGUUAUGUAUGUUAACUACUCUGGAUAUAUGUGUGAUGUUAUGACAGGUCUGUUCAAUAAAGAUGGGAAUAGGUG